AGUGAACGCUGGCGGUAGGCCUAACACAUGCAAGUCGAACGGCAGCACAGUAAGAGCUUGCUCUUACGGGUGGCGAGUGGCGGACGGGUGAGGAAUACAUCGCAAUCUACUUUUUCGUGGGGGAUAACGUAGGGAAACUUACGCUAAUACCGCAUACGACCUACGGGUGAAAGCAGGGGAUCUUCGGACCUUGCGCGAUUGAAUGAGCCGAUGUCGGAUUAGCUAGUUGGCGGGGUAAAGGCCCACCAAGGCGACGAUCCGUAGCUGGUCUGAGAGGAUGAUCAGCCACACUGGAACUGAGACACGGUCCAGACCCCUACGGGAGGCAGCAGUGGGGAAUAUUGGACAAUGGGCGCAAGCCUGAUCCAGCCAUACCGCGUGGGUGAAGAAGGCCUUCGGGUUGUAAAGCCCUUUUGUUGGGAAAGAAAAGCAGCAGGUUAAUACCCCGCUGUUCUGACGGUACCCAAAGAAUAAGCACCGGCUAACUUCGUG
rnacentral:rRNA from 1 species